GCGUCAGUGCGACGAUGGCACUUCUACGUCGGGCGCCGUCACGUCGCAACAACCUAUUCAAAUCUGCUACCUGCAGGAUGGUCAGGCUUCUUCAAGUUAUUGGUCCCGAAGGACGAUGACAGUUGGGACGUUCUCGCCACAGCCUUCAGCGCCUACCAUACCAAUUCCUUUGCGCAGAUACGACACCAGAGGUCAGCUGAGUUCAAUUACCCGGCCUCUCCUUCGGGACGGGGCACAAGAGGGGGAAGAAGCAAAAAAGGGACAGAGGAAAGAAAAAAUAAGGGAGAGCUGGCGAGAAAGGCAUUCGUCCACUUGUUGCUACACAGUCCCGGAACAGGAGAGGAAAGCAGCGCGGUCCGCCAGCCGAACUACCGAGGGGCAGACCCGCAGGACGGGAAACGACGCGACCUCGCUACCAAGCCAAGUUAGGGAAUAAAGGAACAGGUCAUACUGACACGUUCCCUAAGAAUGAGUCUAGUAAAAAUGAAGUAAAACGAAACAUCCGCAACG
rnacentral:lncRNA from 1 species